UUAUAUGAUGAUCCUCGGCCAAUUGGCCAUUUGCUAUAAACCCAGCUCUUCGAAGUUUUCUCUUCAAUAGAGACUACGUAGUGAGACCAAUUUUUUGUCAAACGCUCUGAAA
rnacentral:snoRNA from 1 species